rnacentral:rRNA from 1 species
UCAAGUUAUUAAGGGUGCAGGGCGGAUGCCUUGGCACUAGGAGCCGAUGAAGGACGUGAUAAGCUGCGAUAAGCUUCGGGGAGUUGCACGUAAACUUUGAUCCGAAGAUUUCCGAAUGAGGAAACUCACUUAGAGUAAUGUCUAAGUAUCGUUAAGUGAAUACAUAGCUUAGCGAGGGGAACCCGGGGAACUGAAACAUCUAAGUACCCGGAGGAAGAGAAAGAAAUUCGAUUCCGUAAGUAGCGGCGAGCGAACGCGGAACAGGCCAAACCAAUGAAGUUUACUUCGUUGGGGUUGCGGACAUACAACAUGGAUGCAAUAUCGUAAAUGAAGAGAGUUGGAAAGCUCCGCCAUAGAAGGUAAUAGCCCUGUAGUUGAAACGAGAAAGCUACUAGUAUGAUCCAGAGUACCACGGGACACGUGAAACCCUGUGGGAAGCAGGAGGGACCAUCCUCCAAGCCUAAAUACUACCUAGUGACCGAUAGCGCAUAGUACCGUGAGGGAAAGGUGAAAAGAACCCCGGGAGGGGAGUGAAAUAGAACCUGAAACCCUGCACUUACAAGCUGUGGGAGCACAUUACUUGUGUGACCGCGUACUUUUUGUAGAACGGGCCAACGAGUUACGUUAAGUAGCAAGGUUAAGCACUUAAGGUGUGGAGCCGUAGCGAAAGCGAGUCUUAAAUGGGCGAUUAAGUUACUUGGCGUAGACCCGAAACCGGGCGACCUAUCCAUGAGCAGGUUGAAGCGAAAGUAAAAUUUCGUGGAGGACCGAACCCACGAGCGUUGAAAAGCUCGGGGAUGACUUGUGGAUAGCGGUGAAAUUCCAAUCGAGCCCGGAGAUAGCUGGUUCUCCCCGAAAUAGCUUUAGGGCUAGCCUCAAGCGUAGAGAAACGGAGGUAGAGCACUGAAUGUCCUAGGGGGUAUUGCACUUACCGAAGACUAUCAAACUCCGAAUGCCGUUUUCUUUUACUUGGGAGUCAGACUGUGGGUGAUAAGAUUCAUAGUCAAAAGGGCAACAGCCCAGAUCGUCAGCUAAGGUCCCUAAAUGUACGUUAAGUGGUAAAGGAUGUGGGAUUGCACAGACAACCAGGAUGUUGGCUUAGAAGCAGCCACUCAUUUAAAGAGUGCGUAAUAGCUCACUGGUCGAGUGAUCCUGCGCCGAAAAUUUCCGGGGCUAAAACGUACUACCGAAGCUACGGCAUCAUUUAUGAUGGGUAGGGGAGCUUCGUAUGCAGGCUGAAGCAUGACCGUAAGGACAUGUGGACAGUAUACGAGUGAGAAUGUUGGCAUGAGUAGCGAGACGUGGGUGAGAAUCCCACGGGCCGUAAACCCAAGGUUUCCAGGGGAAGGUUCGUCCGCCCUGGGUUAGUCGGGACCUAAGCCGAGGCCGAAAGGCGUAGGUGAUGGACAACAGGUUGAUAUUCCUGUACCGCCAAUAAGCGUUUGAGAGAUGGAGUGACACAGUAGGAUAAGCUAACCGUACUGUUGGUUAUGUACGGCUAAGCAUUGAGGCAGUCUAAAUAGGCAAAUCCGUUUAGACAAUGCUAGGAUGUGAUGGGGAAGCCCUUCGGGGCGAAGUAGCUGAUUUCACACUGUCAAGAAAAGCUUCUAUCGAGUUUAAAGGCGCCCGUACCGUAAACCGACACAGGUGGGUGAGGAGAGUAUCCUAAGGCCAGCGAGAGAACUAUUGUUAAGGAACUCGGCAAAAUGACCCCGUAACUUAGGGAGAAGGGGUGCCUGUCUAUGACAGGCCGCAGAGAAUAGGCCCAAGCGACUGUUUACCAAAAACACAGGUUUCUGCUAAGUCGCAAGACGAUGUAUAGGAGCUGACGCCUGCCCGGUGCUGGAAGGUUAAGGGGAUCUGUUAGAGCAAUCGAAGCAGUGAACUUAAGCCCCAGUAAACGGCGGCCGUAACUAUAACGGUCCUAAGGUAGCGAAAUUCCUUGUCGGGUAAGUUCCGACCCGCACGAAAGGCGUAAUGAUUUG